GCUUUUUAUGUCUUGUUUAUGAAAUUUUUUCUUACCCAAAGACGAUACUUUCCUAUGUUAUUUCUAGAAGUUACUGUUUGAAUUUUGCAUUUAAAUCUACAACCCAUCUAGAAUUGAUUUUUGAGUACUGUGAGAGGUAGUCAAUUAGAUAGCCAAUUAACACAGCACCAUUUUUUUAAUUUCAAAAAUCCUUCUCCCUAUCGUACUUCUAUCAUUAUCAUAUCACAAUCACCAUCAUUAUUAUCAACAUUACCAUCAUCAUCAUUUGUUUAUAAACUUGUCUUCUCCAUUAAACCCUUAGCAUCUUUGAACAUGACUGUGUUCUGUUCAUUUUCCCUUUAUACCUAACACCGCUGCUAAUUAAGAGCUUAUAUUCAAUAAAUGUUUGUUUAAUAAUUACGCCAUGUCAAUCUAUAGUAUGAGUAGAGAUAUUGCAGGAAAGUACGUGAUUAUUUUCAGCGUGCAGGGACUCCGCCUUAGUAUAUUGUACAGAAAGGUAUUAACAGAAUGUGGAGGGCAGUGAAUGACUAUUGCAGGUCUUCAGAGAACCGAGACCUGCUAAAAGACUGGCGACAGCAUAACGAUGUUUUGUUUUUUCUCUACAUUCUGGUGAGUUUGAAGUGGAUUCUCAGAAAUACUACCAAAUGGAUUUUGAGAACAUAAAAAAAAUGGAGCAAAGAAUUCUAGGAGCCAACAUCAGUUAACUGAGAACAAGUCAUGACAGACCAAAUUUAAUUGCUCUUUUGUAGCAUAUGUAGCUCGGUACGGUAGGAAAAUGUAGUUUCUGUGCUUUAGAAAUGCAUUUGGUAAGCCCCCUCAUGAUAUCCCAGUGAACAAGAGCUGGGACUCCUAGACAGUAAGUUUCUUUGAGGACAGAAACCAUGACCUUUUAACUAUAUUCUCUGCCUGGCACCUAAUACACCAUAAUCAAUCACUGUUAAUGAAUGAUUUAUAAUAGAGUUAGGAGGAUUCUGAUAGAGCAGAGUGUCUCUGCUGAGCAUGAACUUGUACUCAGGAUCUGGCUGUUUGAUGACCUGGUAGUCUAGUCUAUUUAUGUGAUUUGAUGAUGUACAGGACUUUUAUUUAGGGCUGAAAUAGAAUGAAGAGGUUUGAAAGCCUGAGAAGAAAAAUGAGGGUAACAGGACUGGGUAAGACAGGGAUGGCUUUAUCUACAUGUCUCCAGUUUGAGGUACUACAUUUCAGAUGUGAUGAGGAGAGGGAUAAAGGGCAGAAGGUUUAGGAGACGAGUUCAUAAAGCACACUGGAGGCUAUGGCACAAACAUUGCUGCUCUGGCUCCAAGUGAACAUUCCUCCCCAGCCUGACCAUGCACCACUGAGGGAUUUGGCAGCCAGACCAUGGGCUCAGGGGAACGACCUUGGGACAUUCUCACAGAGAACACUGGCAGUGGGGGUCAUAGAGAUGCGACUCAUAAAGAAGAACAUGAGCCAACUUGUUCCUGGAUAUGAGUGACACACCCCGACAUCCCAGCAAUAACUAGGAGCGACUUUGACAGGGCACUGAAGAAGUCCUUGAGUGUCAAAGUUAGAGGCUAAGUCACUGUAAUUUGGAAAUUAAUGCUAAUGCAACUUCAUUUCAACAGGCUGGUGAGAGCUGGGGGAAUUCUAGAACACAUAACUAUUAAAUGACCACAAAUAAUAUACAAUUUAUUGAAAUUCUAAUCAAUUGCCAAAUCUUUGCAUACAAUAUUUUACUUAAUCUUUUUAAUAAUCCAAUUAGAUAAGUUUCGUUAGCAAUAAAUUUCUUUUUGUUUGUCUAUUUUUCCAGAUAAACCUUGGAAACACUUGUAAAGUUGUUGAUUUUUAAUUCCAUUUGAAUUUUAAGUAGAAUUAUUUUUGCACAUAUAUUUGUUAGAAAAAAAUAUCAUUGGGAUAUUCAGUCUUCUCAUAAUUAGAGCAAGGCGUGUAUCUCCAAAUAUUCCAAAAACAUACUAUCUAUUUACAAAAAAACUUCUUCACAUACUCCCUGCACUUCUUGAUAAGGUUAUUCUAACUUAUUUUGUGUAUGUUUCUAAUAUGGUGAAUGACCUCUUCUUUCAUUUAUAUUCUUCAUAUAUUCUUACAUUUUCUAAGUGAGAAUUAGCGGAAUAACAUAGUUAUUGUUAAAUGUCCUUCAUAUAUGCCAUUUUACUGAACUUUUUUUUAUUAUAAUACUUUUUUAGUUUAAUCACAUAUGUUUUACAGGGAUAUCUUCAAAUCUACAAAUAAUAAUGUUAUCUUCACUUGUCCAAAAUGUACAUACAGCUUAUUUCUAUUUCACUCUUAUUGCAUUAACCAGAACUUACAAAACAUUACAUGAUAAUGUGAUUUUGAGCAGAAUUAUCUAUUUUUAAACCUUUCCAUGUGACAAAAUGGAAAUAGUUUAAACACUUCCUAACUCACAUAUAAUUAAAUUCAAAACUAUGGGAGAAAUGAUCCUAAGAGAAGCUUGGAAGGUGGGAGGGAGACAAGGAUAUUCAGGAAUCUACAUAUGGGAAACUGAGAAGGAAGAGACACAGGGAAAAAGCUGGGGUCUGACAAUGUUAGCACGAAUGAGUAUACCAGACACUUCCCUGAAACCAGAUCUGGAGAGAGAAGUAAAGACUGAGUGAGAACGUCAGAGACAGCGUCGUGAAUCGGAUAUAAAGGCAAGGUGGCAGGCGCUGAGGAAGGAGAGAGUGGAUCAUAUACAACAAAUUUUGUCUUCCAUAUGAUUUCGCUUGGGAUCAAGCUUCAAAAUACAUAUGACAUGUUGUAUGGUGCUAAUUUUUGCUGAUAGCCAGAAUAAUGAGUUCACAUAUUUGAUCUCUGUAUUCCUAUUGUGAAGCAAGGGCAAAAUUUCAUUGUCACCAUCAUAGGCAUGGUCCAUUUAAUUCAUUAUGGGAAUGGGAGGGACAGUUUUUCUGAGGCAUUUGUGAUAAGAAUAAAGAUGAGGCUUAGAGUCAAAGCCACAAAUAAUUGAGAAAGACAGAAUGAGGUUUUUCUACAAGGACAGCUUGAAUUUUUUAAAUAGAAUCAAUGUAUUGGCAGAAUUUACUGGAAGAGGAGAGUUAAUUAGAAUUGACUACACAAUCACACUGAGAUAUACUUUCAUAAUAGAUGUCAGACCUGCAGAUAGAACUUGUACCCUAGAUUUUUUAAUUAAGUUGAGGUUAUUCUUCUGACAGAGGGAAGGCUCUCAAGAUGCAGGAAGAUGCUCCCCCCAAUUGACAGGCCUCUGGCUAAUGAUGAAAAACCUCUUCGUUACGGAAAAAUGCUCUUUCCCAGUCGGUUGCUUUUCUUUCAAAGAAUUAAAUUUUAGGGAGCAGGGGCUGGGACAUCAAGAGUAAUGAGCAGAAAGAGCAUGUCCUUUGGAAGCAAAAUGUCAGCCUGCAUCAUGGCCUACCCCUUAUCACACUUCAUAGUUUGGGCAAGUAUUGAGAAACUGCAAACCUCAGGCUACUCGUCAGUAAAAAGGAAAUAAAACUAUCCAUAUAAUAGGAUAAUGUAAAGAUUAAGAAAUAUAUACAAUUUCAUGACCUGGUACCCGGUACCCUUAAAGGAAAUUAAAAGUCUUGGUUCUCCUCUAUUGCUAUUUAUAUAACAUUUUGAAAUACACUAUUACUUCCAUAUUUGUACAUUUUUAUCCUUGUUCACCAUCUUCUUAUUAGCCAGAGCGUCCAUUGCCUCAGAGAAGUUUAGUCUCUUUAUAGCUGGGAUGCAAGCACAAACAAAAAUUUACGUUCAUUUCUGGACUUCCAAAAGAGGCACUUGAAAUCCACCUCUGAAAAAACAGUCCUGAAAUCCAGGCUUUUGAUUGCAACUUCUGGGCCUUUGUGAUAAAAAGGGUGUUCUAAAUCCCAACAGCUUCCCUUUAAACAUGAAGGAAGCAGGCUUGGAGGUCAGAGCACAGUGAUUUUACUAUCAGCCACAGAGGAGGAAAGAUGUCAGAUAUGGCAGAGGUGUGCUGAAAUAAGCAUGCUCGGGGAACGCUGGUCUGGAAGGCAGCCGGGGUCCGGACAGGGAGAGGCAGAGUGCCUCCAGUGCUGCAGCCCAGGCCCCAUCCUGUCAGCUCACCAUGCUCACAGCUCAAGGGGCGUAGGCAGAGCUGCAUCGGAUUCACGGGCCGGAAGACUACAGGAUCCGGGGAACCCUCUGA
ensembl:lncRNA